UUUAAUUAGGCCUAAAUAAAAAAGCCAUGUGAAGCCCGAAGAUACUGCAUAUAUGAGAUUUGUCAAGCCAUUCUUCCCACCACCAAUGCCUGAACACGACCUCAUUUAUCUUGAUCAAUGAAGCUCAAGGAAGCAUUGCACUUUGGCUUCUGCUUUAAGUACCCCCUGGUUUUGCUAGGUGGCGCCAUAGGCUAAUGCAUGGGUCUUCCUCGGCUGCCCGGGCGGCCUCCUUCGCUGAGGCAGGAAAAACGGCUUCUGCGGUUCCCUUGGAGUUUAAGAUCCUCAGACCAGCCCAUGGGAGUGAUAUUCAGAGUCAACAGGAAAUUAAUCAGCAAGUAGAAAAUUGAAAGAAGAUCUGCAUCUCGCUGCAGGAGUCAUUAAAAUAAAAGCAGAUUUGGCAAAAUGGCAAGCAGCAACAAAUACUGCGUAUGUACGGAGUGCACCAGGCACGAUGCUAAUGUGCUCGGCAUACGUUAUCUUUUUGGUUCUACAACAACCCAGUGGAGGAAGACUUCUCAAACACAAUUUAAGGAUGAGGAAAUGAAGGCACAGAGCAAUUAUUCAACUUGUCUAAGGCCACACGGCUACUAAGAAUCAUUGCCAGAAUGUAUCUCCAAUUUUAUUUGUCUCCGUUGCCAAGGUUUUGACCGCCAUGUGACGACGACGCCUUUCCUCUUUUCAUGGAUAUCCGGAGAGCACCUUGGACAGCCACCUAAGUCUUAUGACCACCCCUCCCAGUUUUGGAUCAUCAGAGCUGUUGUCAGAAUGUCUUCACGGGGGUCUCCCAACCUUCUAUUUUUCCUUUGAAGUUGGAAAAUCUACCUCCAGAUGUUGAAAGCUCAUAUCUAACUGAGCUAAUGAGAGUCCUCCAUUUUCCAAAAAGCUUAAGCUGCCACUUGCUUUUAGUUGCUAUUUUCUUAACUAACUAGUUUGUCCUGAUGGAUCAAAAUUAAGGGCUUUUGAUAAGGAGAACAGUUAUUCUAUUUUUUUUCAAACUUCUGGGAGAUGAAGCCACAUGAAGAAUUUAUUGUAUUGUUGUUCUUUGCUGACCUUACCCUGAUUUUACCACAUAAUAAAGUGCUUUGAGUUCUGCAUUCUACUGGUUACUUUGGGUUUUGUUUGUUUGUUCGUUGUUAACCACAACUGAACUUUAAGUCUGGGAAUAGUUUCCAAGUUUCUGGAAAUAGUAAGUGGCUCCCCUGUCCUUCUGAUGUUGCUAUAGAUCAGUUUUGAAGAGAAAUCCAACCUCAAAACCUUCUUUGAUUCCUCUAUCUCACUUG
rnacentral:lncRNA from 1 species